rnacentral:rRNA from 1 species
CCCUCAGUAACGGCGAGUGAAGCGGGAAGAGCUCAUUCUGUGAAUCUGUAUGCUCUUUUGGUAUACCGAGUUGUAGAAUAUAGAAGCACAUCAGUGCGAAUUCCGGUCUAAGUCUCUUGGAAAAGAGCAGNUAAGAGGGUGAGACUCCCGUUCUUGGCUGGAAUUCAAACUUUAGCAUGUGGUUUCGACGAGUCGAGUUGCUUGGGAUUGCAGCUCAAAGUUGGUGGUAAAUUCCAUCUAAAGCUAAAUAUCGGUGGGAGACCGAUAGCGUACAAGUACCGUGAGGGAAAGAUGCAAAGAACUUUGAAAAAAGAGUUAAAGAGUACCUGAAAUUGCUGAAAUGGAAGCGAAGGAAACCAGUGCCGUUCUGUAUCAUUCUUCCGUCCUUGCUUGCGAGGGUGGCGCUGUGAUGCAGGAUAGGCCAGCGUGGGUUUGAGCCGAAGGAAGCAGCUCUUCAGGAGGCAGCGCAAUUUCUGUGCGAUUACUGUUGAGCUUUGCUUCGGCUUGGACUGAGGCUAGUCACUUGUGCUCGUGACGCUGGCGAAAUGGUUUUCUUUACCCCGUCUUGAAACACGGACCAAGGAGUCUAACAUAUGUGCGAGUAUAUGAGUGACAAACUCACAUGCGAAAUGAAAGUAACAGUGGUUGGACCUUCUGGGCACAAUCCGCCGGCCACAAUCCUUCGGGAGAAAGGUCUGAGUGUGAGCAUACAUGUUGGGACCCGAAAGAUGGUGAACUAUGCCUGAAUAGGGUGAAGCC